rnacentral:rRNA from 2 species
UAAUGCAAGUCGAACGCACUCUCGUUAGAUUGAAGAAGCUUGCUUCUGAUUGAUAACAUUUGAGUGAGUGGCGGACGGGUGAGUAACACGUGGGUAACCUGCCCUAAAGUGGGGGAUAACAUUUGGAAACAGAUGCUAAUACCGCAUAAAACCUAGCACCGCAUGGUGCAAGGUUGAAAGAUGGUUUCGGCUAUCACUUUAGGAUGGACCCGCGGUGCAUUAGUUAGUUGGUGAGGUAAAGGCUCACCAAGACCGUGAUGCAUAGCCGACCUGAGAGGGUAAUCGGCCACACUGGGACUGAGACACGGCCCAGACUCCUACGGGAGGCAGCAGUAGGGAAUCUUCCACAAUGGACGAAAGUCUGAUGGAGCAACGCCGCGUGAGUGAAGAAGGUUUUCGGAUCGUAAAACUCUGUUGUUGGAGAAGAACGUAUUUGAUAGUAACUGAUCAGGUAGUGACGGUAUCCAACCAGAAAGCCACGGCUAACUACGUGCCAGCAGCCGCGGUAAUACGUAGGUGGCAAGCGUUGUCCGGAUUUAUUGGGCGUAAAGCGAGCGCAGGCGGUUUCUUAAGUCUGAUGUGAAAGCCUUCGGCUCAACCGAAGAAGUGCAUCGGAAACUGGGAAACUUGAGUGCAGAAGAGGACAGUGGAACUCCAUGUGUAGCGGUGAAAUGCGUAGAUAUAUGGAAGAACACCAGUGGCGAAGGCGGCUGUCUGGUCUGUAACUGACGCUGAGGCUCGAAAGCAUGGGUAGCAAACAGGAUUAGAUACCCUGGUAGUCCAUGCCGUAAACGAUGAGUGCUAGGUGUUGGAGGGUUUCCGCCCUUCAGUGCCGCAGCUAACGCAUUAAGCACUCCGCCUGGGGAGUACGACCGCAAGGUUGAAACUCAAAGGAAUUGACGGGGGCCCGCACAAGCGGUGGAGCAUGUGGUUUAAUUCGAAGCAACGCGA